rnacentral:rRNA from 1 species
CGCGAUACAGGGUGACAGCCCCGUACACAAAAAUGCACAUGCUGUGAGCUCGAUGAGUAGGGCGGGACACGUGGUAUCCUGUCUGAAUAUGGGGGGACCAUCCUCCAAGGCUAAAUACUCCUGACUGACCGAUAGUGAACCAGUACCGUGAGGGAAAGGCGAAAAGAACCCCGGCGAGGGGAGUGAAAAAGAACCUGAAACCGUGUACGUACAAGCAGUGGGAGCACGCUUAGGCGUGUGACUGCGUACCUUUUGUAUAAUGGGUCAGCGACUUAUAUUCUGUAGCAAGGUUAACCGAAUAGGGGAGCCGAAGGGAAACCGAGUCUUAACUGGGCGUUAAGUUGCAGGGUAUAGACCCGAAACCCGGUGAUCUAGCCAUGGGCAGGUUGAAGGUUGGGUAACACUAACUGGAGGACCGAACCGACUAAUGUUGAAAAAUUAGCGGAUGACUUGUGGCUGGGGGUGAAAGGCCAAUCAAACCGGGAGAUAGCUGGUUCUCCCCGAAAGCUAUUUAGGUAGCGCCUCGUGAAUUCAUCUCCGGGGGUAGAGCACUGUUUCGGCAAGGGGGUCAUCCCGACUUACCAACCCGAUGCAAACUGCGAAUACCGGAGAAUGUUAUCACGGGAGACACACGGCGGGUGCUAACGUCCGUCGUGAAGAGGGAAACAACCCAGACCGCCAGCUAAGGUCCCAAAGUCAUGGUUAAGUGGGAAACGAUGUGGGAAGGCCCAGACAGCCAGGAUGUUGGCUUAGAAGCAGCCAUCAUUUAAAGAAAGCGUAAUAGCUCACUGGUCGAGUCGGCCUGCGCGGAAGAUGUAACGGGGCUAAACCAUGCACCGAAGCUGCGGCAGCGACGCUUAUGCGUUGUUGGGUAGGGGAGCGUUCUGUAAGCCUGUGAAGGUGUACUGUGAGGUAU